GAUGAACGCUGGCGGCGUGCUUAACACAUGCAAGUCGAACGGUGAAGCUCCAGCUUGCUGGAGUGGAUCAGUGGCGAACGGGUGAGUAACACGUGAGCAACCUGCCCCUGACUCUGGGAUAACAGCCGGAAACGGCUGCUAAUACCGGAUAUGCACCAUCAACGCAUGUUCUGUGGUGGGAAAGAUUUUUCGGUUGGGGAUGGGCUCGCGGCCUAUCAGCUUGUUGGUGAGGUAAUGGCUCACCAAGGCGUCGACGGGUAGCCGGCCUGAGAGGGUGACCGGCCACACUGGGACUGAGACACGGCCCAGACUCCUACGGGAGGCAGCAGUGGGGAAUAUUGCACAAUGGGCGAAAGCCUGAUGCAGCAACGCCGCGUGAGGGAUGACGGCCUUCGGGUUGUAAACCUCUUUUAGCAGGGAAGAAGCGAGAGUGACGGUACCUGCAGAAAAAGCGCCGGCUAACUACGUG
rnacentral:rRNA from 1 species